rnacentral:tRNA from 1 species
GGGCGAUUAGCUCAAUUGGCAGAGCACACGACUUACAUUCGUGAGGUUAUUGGUUCGAGUCCAAUAUCGCCCAUCA